rnacentral:rRNA from 1 species
UGGGGAAUAUUGCACAAUGGGCGAAAGCCUGAUGCAGCGACGCCGCGUGGAGGAUGACGGCCUUCGGGUUGUAAACUCCUUUUGACAGGGACGAAGCGCAAGUGACGGUACCUGUAGAAGAAGCACCGGCCAACUACGUGCCAGCAGCCGCGGUAAUACGUAGGGUGCGAGCGUUGUCCGGAAUUACUGGGCGUAAAGAGCUUGUAGGCGGUCUGUCACGUCUUCUGUGAAAACUUGGGGCUCAACCUUAAGCUUGCAGGGGAUACGGGCAGACUAGAGUACUUCAGGGGAGACUGGAAUUCCUGGUGUAGCGGUGAAAUGCGCAGAUAUCAGGAGGAACACCGGUGGCGAAGGCGGGUCUCUGGGAAGUAACUGACGCUGAGAAGCGAAAGCAUGGGUAGCAAACAG